rnacentral:rRNA from 1 species
AGUGAACGCUGGCGGUAGGCCUAACACAUGCAAGUCGAACGGUAACAGGUCUUCGGAUGCUGACGAGUGGCGAACGGGUGAGUAAUACAUCGGAACGUGCCUAGCAGUGGGGGAUAACUACUCGAAAGAGUGGCUAAUACCGCAUGAGAUCUACGGAUGAAAGCAGGGGAUCGCAAGACCUUGUGCUACUAGAGCGGCCGAUGGCAGAUUAGGUAGUUGGUGGGAUAACAGCUUACCAAGCCGACGAUCUGUAGCUGGUCUGAGAGGACGAUCAGCCACACUGGGACUGAGACACGGCCCAGACUCCUACGGGAGGCAGAAGUGGGGAAUUUUGGACAAUGGGCGCAAGCCUGAUCCAGCAAUGCCGCGUGCAGGAUGAAGGCCUUCGGGUUGUAAACUGCUUUUGUACGGAACGAAAAGCCCCGGGUUAAUACCCUGGGGUCAUGACGGUACCGUAAGAAUAAGCACCGGCUAACUACGUGCCAGCAGCCGCGGUAA